CGGGACGUAGUUCAUCGGUAGAACGUUCGGUUCGGGACCGAAAGGCAGCAGGUUCAAUUCCUGUCGUCCCGA
rnacentral:tRNA from 1 species